UACGGAGGGUGCGAGCGUUGUCCGGAAUCACUGGGCGUAAAGGGCGCGUAGGCGGCGCGGAUAGUCGGCGGUGAAAGCCCGGAGCUCAACUCCGGGUCGGCCGUCGAUACUUCCGGGCUUGAGCACUGUAGAGGCAGAUGGAAUUCCGGGUGUAGCGGUGGAAUGCGUAGAGAUCCGGAAGAACACCAGUGGCGAAGGCGGCUCACUGGCUCGAUACUGACGCUGAGGUGCGAAAGCGUGGGGAGCAAACAGG
rnacentral:rRNA from 1 species